AUUGAACGCUGGCGGCAUGCUUUACACAUGCAAGUCGAACGGUAACAGGCCUUCGGGUGCUGACGAGUGGCGAACGGGUGAGUAAUGCAUCGGAACGUGCCCAAUCGUGGGGGAUAACGUAGCGAAAGUUACGCUAAUACCGCAUAAGCCCUGAGGGGGAAAGUGGGGGACCGCAAGGCCUCACGCGAAUGGAGCGGCCGAUGUCAGAUUAGCUAGUUGGUGGGGUAAAGGCCUACCAAGGCCACGAUCGGUAGCUGGUCUGAGAGGAUGAUCAACCACACUGGGACUGAGACACGGCCCAGACUCCUACGGGAGGCAGCAGUGGGGAAUAUUGGACAAUGGGCGCAAGCCUGAUCCAGCAAUGCCGCGUGUGUGAAGAAGGCCUGCGGGUUGUAAAGCUCUGUGGAGAGGGACGAAAACCCUGGUUUCAAAUAGGCUCCAGGCUUGACGGUACCUCUUUAGCAAGCACCGGCUAACUCUGUGCCAGCAG
rnacentral:rRNA from 1 species